rnacentral:rRNA from 1 species
ACGAACGCUGGCGGCGUGCUUAACCCAUGCAAGUCGAACGGAAAGGCCCUGCUUUUGUGGGGUGCUCGAGUGGCGAACGGGUGAGUAACACGUGAGUAACCUGCCCUUGACUUUGGGAUAACUUCAGGAAACUGGGGCUAAUACCGGAUAGGAGCUCCUGCUGCAUGGUGGGGGUUGGAAAGUUUCGGCGGUUGGGGAUGGAAUCGCGGCUUAUCAGCUUGUUGGUGGGGUAGUGGCAUACCAAGGCUUUGACGGGUAGCCGGCCUGAGAGGGUGACCGGCCCCAUUGGGACUGAGGUACGGCCCAGACUCCUACGGGAGGCAGCAGUGGGGAAUAUUGCACAAUGGGCGGAAGCCUGAUGCAGCAACGCCGCGUGCGGGAUGACGGCCUUCGGGUUGUAAACCGCUUUCGCCUGUGACGAAGCGUGAGUGACGGUAAUGGGUAAAGAAGCACCGGCUAACUACGUG